AGGACAUUUGGUGAAGCCUCUUCCCAGAAGAGCCCUUGAUGUUACUCAAGCCUCAAAGCAGGUACAUCAGCAUGGCAGGAAAGAAAACUGAGGCCCAGAGGGGUGAAAUGACAUUGCAAGGGGCCAUCGGGAUGUCGACUGCUGAAUCAGAAGCAGGACCUCAAGGCUGGGGAGGUUCCAGGACAGCACUUAGCCUGGAGCACCUGCAAAAGUUGCAGAGCCUUCGGGGAGGUUGAGAAUUUAAUGGUUGCAAAGUGCAGGGCGAUGCUGAGAAAAGCCCUGACUCGGGACUGCAUUUCUCUCUCCUCUCCUCCUACCCAUUCUCAUCUCUGCUAAAAUGAGAGCUUUCGACCAGGACUCCAGCCUGCCACAGGAUGCUUGUGUAGCGUGACCUCACUGACACUUUCUCUCAUUUCAAAUCUCAUUUGAAAACAUGUAUUUUUUCCCUGGCCCGGAGGAUACCUCUUGAUUUUUCUCUCCCUCUGCUAUUGUCCAUUAUUUAACUCUGCAAAUGUAUUAUUUAUAGCAACUCUGUAAAGUGUUUGGGGAUCCAGGUUUUCAGGAAAGGCUUUAUUUAAAAUAAAAUUGCAUUGUAUAAGGGGAGUAAACACGAUUGCCGUGUGGAGGGAGAACACAAUUUAUGUUAACCUUUCUGGAUGCUUUGCUGAAUUCCUGGGUGCUAGUGGAUAUCUUUCCUCCCUAGUUAUCGGCUGUGGUACCACAAAUCUCUCAGUCCAUCAGUGUUCCAUUUUACACCUCAUUCCAUCAGCUGCUUAUUGUACCGUGGGCUCAUUCGUCUAUUCUGAGGAUCCAGCUCUAAGACAGCAAUUUAUUUUUCCACAGAUGUGGUAUAUUUUACUCUUCCACAUAUGCCCAGCACUGGAAAGUUCAUUUCUCCUAAUGGGUAACUGUUAAAAAAAAUAAAAAUAAAAAAUCCCAUGACUGUUCUCAGUAGGGAAUGAGGUAUCAAGUGCUAACCAUUAGCGUCGUUAGGCAGUGACAUUGCUCUUCUCCAACUAAGAGAGAACAUAGGUUAUUUGAUCUCCCUCUCAAUAAGGCUGCUUGCAUCUUGAAG
rnacentral:lncRNA from 1 species